rfam:Oryza glaberrima chromosome 1 Oglab01_0295_10, whole genome shotgun sequence.
AUACUUACCUGGACGGGGUUAAUGGGCGAUCAAGAAGGCUCAUGGCCUAGAUUAGUGGCCUCCAUUGCACUUAGGAGGAACGCUCGUCUACCAUCUCCCCAAGUGGGAGAGUGGACGUCAUAAUGUGGCAGAGGGGGUACGCGUUCGCGCGGCCCCUA